rnacentral:rRNA from 1 species
UACGAAGGGGGCUAGCGUUGUUCGGAUUUACUGGGCGUAAAGCGCACGUAGGCGGAUCGAUCAGUCAGGGGUGAAAUCCCAGAGCUCAACUCGUGGAACUGCCUUUGAUACUGUCGAUCUGGAGUAUGGAAGAGGUGAGUGGAAUUCCGAGUGUAGAGGUGAAAUGCGUAGAUAUCAGGAGGAACACCGGUGGUGUAGACGGCUCUCUGGACCGUAACUGACGCUGAGACGGCGAAAAGCGUGGGGAGCAAACAGG